rnacentral:rRNA from 1 species
AUUGAACGCUGGCGGCAUGGCUAAAACAUGCAAGUCGAACGAGAACCCCGCAAGGGGGGACGAGUGGCGGAAGGGUGAGGAAUAGUAUCGAACGUACCCCGAGGUGGGGGAUAGGCACGGGAAACUGUGCGUAAUACCCCAUGAUCUCCAAGGAGCAAAGGCGCAAGUCGCCUUGGGAGCGGCGAUAGUUCCUAUCAGGUAGUUGGCGGGGUAAAGGCCCACCAAGCCGAAGACGGGUAGCCGGUAUGAGAGUACGGCCGGCCACAUCGAGACUGAGACACUGCUCGGACUCCUACGGGAGGCUGCAGUAACGAUAUUCGCAAUGCGCGAAAGCGUGACGGAGCAAUGCCGCGUGCAGGAUGAA